UCCCUGGUGGUCCAGUGGUUAAGAAUCUGCCUUCCAAUGCAGGGGACUCAGGUUCAAUCCCUGGUCAGGGAA
rnacentral:tRNA from 1 species